rnacentral:rRNA from 1 species
CCUACGGGUGGCUGCAGUCGCGAAUUUUUCACAAUGGGCGCAAGCCUGAUGAAGCCACGCCGUGUGCGGGAUGAAGGCUCUUUGAGUUGUAAACCGCUGUCAAGUGGAGGGAACCGUACGGUGUUAACAGCGCCGUAUCUGACUGUCCGCUAAAGGAAGCCCCGGCAAAACAUGUGCCAGCAGCCGCGGUAAUACAUGUGGGGCAAGCGUUGUUCGGAAUCACUGGGCAUAAAGGGUGCGUAGGCGGCUUGUUAAGUCAGGGGUGAAAUCCCACGGCCCAACCGUGGAACUGCCUCUGAAACUGGCGAGCUUGAGUGCGUGAGGGGUAACCGGAACGAGUAGUGUAGCGGUGAAAUGCGUAGAUAUUACUCGGAAGGCCAAAGGCGAAGGCAGGUUACUGGUACGCAACUGACGCUGAGGCACGAAAGCGUGGGGAGCAAACAGGAUUAGAUACCCCGGUAGUC